ensembl:snoRNA Snord89 small nucleolar RNA, C/D box 89
ACUGAGGAAUGAUGACAAUAAAAGGCCGAAUUGCAGUGUCUCCAUCAGCAGUUUGCUCUCUUGGGAUACACGAUGACAAAAUCUCCUGAAGCGAACCACUGGUCUGACCUCAGU